rnacentral:ncRNA from 1 species
AAGAGCCGUGUGAUGGGAGACUAUCAAGCACGGUUCUGUGAGAGGCUGGAGGGGAAGUUCCUCCGGCCUACUCGAC